AAAUUGGUUGAUGUUUUCGCCGCGACGAUUCGAAAUGAAACGAAGAAAUGAGAAGAAGCGAAGGUCCUCGUAGAGGUGAAUGAGGAUUUUACCACUAUGGACAUUUGAACAGUAUGCAUAAGAAGACGGAUCUGGAACUAGAAAGCAAGGCUCUGACUGGUCUACUACAGCAAGGAAUGUGCCAGCGGCCAAUCUGAUGAACAUGUGACAGAAGAUUUGGCAAUGGGUGAAGAAAUACUGAGAUUGAAAUGCAACCACAGGUGGAGGCUUCAACCAAACUUUUCAGACAGACAUGAGAUACAAAGUUACACAAGUAUAAAUGGUUGAAGGUUUAGGAGAGCCAGACAAGAAGGCAGGAAAUGUGAUGUCACUUGUAA